AUACAGGGGGUGCGAGCGUUAAUCGGAAUUACUGGGCGUAAAGAGUACGUAGGCGGUUGCUUAAGUCAGAUGUGAAAGCCCCGGGCUCAACCUGGGAACUGCAUUUGAAACUGAGUGACUAGAGUUUAAGAGAGGGGGGUAGAAUUCCGGGUGUAGCGGUGAAAUGCGUAGAGAUCCGGAGGAAUACCAGUGGCGAAGGCGGCUCCCUGGCUUAAAACUGACGCUGAGGUACGAAAGCGUGGGUAGCAAACAGGAUUAGAAACCCCGGUAGUCC
rnacentral:rRNA from 1 species